CUGCUUUUUUUUUUUUUUAAAUGUGGCUACUGGAAAAACAAUCACAUACGUGGCUCGCGUUCUAUUUCUGUGAGUGCCAGCUUAGAGGCCCACGGGCGUGGGGAGAGUUUGGAGCGCAGGGUCAGUGUUGCCUUCUUAGCCUGCGGCAGUCGGUGGACACGCGGACGUUACGACCCGACGCCGACUAGGCACCUCGCGCUAACAUUUGCCAUGCGCACUGAGCACCCCCGCGUGCACGGCGGUCUCGUGACGGCACAGGCCAGACCCCUCCCCGCUCUGUACCACCCCUCCCAAUGCCCCCCCCCCCCCCACCCCGGGAGCCGCCCGGCGCUCUUAGAAUGAGCUCCAAACUCCGACUGGGGGGCCGAGCCCCCGUGUGAGCCGACCCCUGCCCGCUCCGUCCUAGCCACAGCCACUUCUCCCUCUCCCCUUCCUCACCAGACCCCUCGUGUCUUCGGUGCUUUACACAGAUCUUCUGCACGAAACCCACUGAGCUCUCCCCUGGGCCGGACCUCCCCAGCGGGGGCCUUCGCUCACUCACACCUCCGCUGAGACCCCGCCCCCCCUUCCCAUCCUUGACCUUCCCCUCCCUCUCCAGCAUUUUACCACAUCUGGCUUUCUGCAGCCUGGCACUUUUCACCCUCCCAAACGAUCUCGCUCACAUGUUCGUUCACUGGCGGGUUACCUGUCCCCUCUUAGCUCUCAGGUAGCCCCCGAGAGCGUGGACUUUGCCCAUCGUGCCCACUGCUGUGAUAUCGGUGCUAGGGGCCCGGCAGGCUUGCCAACGCCAUUUGUUACCUGGAUGACUGCAUUGAAUAAUCAGCACAACCUUAUGGGCCCCGUGUUAUGACUCAGCCCAUUUUACAGAUGAAAAAACUGAGGCAGAGGGAGGAGAAACAAUUUGCCCAAAGGCACAGGAAUGGGGGGAAAAAUGAAGAGUCAGGAUUUGGGGUCCAAGAGCUGCUAAAUCCAAAUGGAGCACGGACCAAGAAGGCUCAGCUGAGGACUUGGGAACAAAUCAGAAGGGAUCUGGAGGCUCCCCUGUCUGCAUUUCCUGGGUCAUUUUUGUUCCGGCAGAAGCUAGCAUUGUCUGGGAACCAAAGGAUCUGACUACAGGUCUUCUCUGCCUCAGCCCAAAACAGGGGAGGGGGAAGUGCGUGCCUCUCAGACCCGGGCCUGGGGGUGCCCACCAUUUAGGCUGCAGCGAUGGGAAGAGAUCAGUUCCAUAAGGACAGCUGGUCAAGGCCCCCUGAUUCUCUGCCCCUAAGGCCACUUCCCAACCCUUGCCUGGAUGCACCGGUCCCCCACAUGCCCUCCGCACACCAGCACACUCCAAGGAACAGGUUCUCCUUGAGAGAGAGGCCUCUUGGGAACCUGCCUGUGCUCCACGAAAUGAGUGAUGUGGGGACACGUGGGAUUAUUGACCGCAGUGCAGGAAGGGGUUGAGGAAAUUGUUGCUGGCCGCCCUUCCCUCCCCCGAGCUCUUGGCCCCCUUUCCUCACCGGUCCCCUUUCCUCACCUGCUCGUAGAUGUUUCUCAUCAGCUCCACGAAGCUCUGCAAGCCUUUUAAUUUGGUCUCCAGUUCGGUCCGCCGGAGACACUCCGCAUCCAGGUCCUGAGGGUGGGAGCAGUGAACCUCCAUUUCCAGCAAGCUGUGCCUUCGGUCAAGUCUGCUCCAAGAUGCCCACUCACCGCUCACCCUCUCCCUCCACCUCGUCUGCUUUGCUCGCUGGUAGGACACCAUUCCAUCAUGGUCCCUCUGGAGGGGAGAGUGUGGACAUUGCAGCCAGAGGGACCCACAGUGUGCUCUUGGGCAGCGGGCUCCAGAGCCACACUACUGGGGCUCAGAUCCUGGCUCCUCGCUCCCUAGCCACGUGACCUUGAAGAAGCUACUUGCGUGCGCCUCGGUCGUGAUAAUUGUGAUGUCACGAGGGUUAUAUAAGUUAAUACAUGGAGUGUUUACAAAGUGCAUGUUACCGGCUAAAGCUAUUAUUAUUACCGGAGCUCUGCUCUAUCUAAUGCCAGGCCCCGGCCUCCAACCCUUCUGCCUUGGCCUCUAGCAUUUCUGGAGAGAAACCAUGGGAGGCCUCUUUGCAGAGGGAGUGUGGGUGGUUCUCUGCACUUCCUUCCUAGACUUCCCACUGGAAAUUUGGUGACCACUGAGGAAGUCCCAAGCUGAGAAGCCCCUCAUUGACUGGCCCUCUCCACAUAAGCCCAGUGCUCAAGGCUCUCUCUCUCUCUCCUCCCAUCUGGAUAGCAGAGUUCUGCCUGCCUGGGGGGCAGGACCAUGGGGAGAGGUGUCCAGUGGGGGUUCUCUGAGGUGUCAAACCUCCUCCUUACUCCUCACUGCCCUUUCCAUCCUUUUGUGUAGGCUUCCCUCCUCCCUCUUCACCAACUCCAUUGGAUUUCAGCCCUAGAUCACCUCCUCAACCAGAUGCUUUUGUGCAGUGAACCUCUUGCACAAUUGUACAUGGUACCCCUGAGUCACUUGCUGUGUGGCCUUGGGCAAGUGGUUUCCCAAGAGGCUUUGCCCGGCCCCUGCUUCAUCCUUAAUAAAUAGAAGAGUUAGCUACCUGAUCCUUGGGGUCCUGGCUACAUCAAAGCUUUUGGAGGUCUCCAUCCUCAUGGAGACUUGGGUAAAUGCCAUCUCCCCCGCUGCACUCCCAAUCCCCUGCCAGUCUGCCAGCCACCAAUU